UACUCGAUUCUGUCCAUGUGAAAAGGAAACAGUCAAAUAAUUUCUGUCAAAACCCAAUCAAGGAAAAGAGAGAGAAAAAAGAGAAACACAAGUUUAAUUCCAGUUUCCAUUGUGCAUCCCCCAUAAGAUCCAUAAAAACCUCCUCUGCCAACAAAGGCAUGGUCCAGUGUCAAAGCUUAAUGGGAAAAGUGAGUUCAGGGAGGCCAGGCCUGGGCAUGAGAAUCACAUUUUCCCACUUCUCUCUCCAGGUCCAAGGCAGGAGACUCAUUAAAGCCAACAGAACUGGCAGCAAAUGACCUCUCAUAGCUAAAGAUGCACGCUGAAAUGUACAGGGAACCACAAAAGAGCUCGGUCCAUUUCCAGGACCCAAAUGGAGGUGGCAGGAUGGGUUCAUUAGAUAGACGUGGCCAUCUUAGUCUUCAGAAGAGCCAUGUGGAAGUCGAUUUGUUUCAGGAAGAGACACGCUGUCUGGGCAUCUGCAGCAGAGCUGACCUGUGGUUCCCAGGACCAUGCUGGAAGGUCAGCCUGUAUUGCUACCGCCACCUACAUGUCUCGGUCACUCUAGAGAAAGUCUGAAUUUUUGCUUAAAGAGUCAUCUUUUCCAGGAGAAUCACCUUAAGAAAACCCUCUUCAGCAUUAGAAUUUCUUAGGUUUAACAGAAGAAGAAAAAAGGAGAGAAAGAAAGAAGUGAGAGAGGGAGAAAGACUGUGUGUGCCGAGCUACGAAAUCCAAGGGUGAUAAAUGGAAGAAAAGUUCACGGGGUGAUAAUUGGGGUGAAGGGAUGAUCAAAUUUUGUCAAAUUGCCUUUCUAUGUGGAGUUUUAGAAUGGAAUUCAAGUAGCGUUUAGCCAGUGAUGACUGAGCCAGCCACUUCCAUGUACGCUGCCUUAAUUCCUCUUCCUCAAUCCCUGUGUGGUAUAUAACCUUGGCUCAACACUGCAAAGGAGACAACAGAGGUUCAGAGACACUUUAUAGUUCAUUCAAGGGCAUACUGAUGAUGGCAAGUAUCUGUAUCUGAGUCAGGCCUGAAACUUGUUCCUCCCAAUUCCAAACUGGUGCAUUUCCCAUACCAUCUGCUCUCAUGAUGGGACCCUCCCUUGCUGCAGAAGCUCAAGGGCUAGCUCAUUUCUCAACCAUCUGCUCACAUAGUGCCUAGGAGAAGUACUCCAAUCCCUUCCCACGGGGGAGAAGACUUCUUUGUGGAAGAAUAGCCCUCCAGUGUAAAGACAGUCCACUCUGCUGCAACUGGGAAGCCCUAUCUGGUAUCUUUCUUAUCUUUGGAUGGCAAUGGAUUUGUGGGAUGGGGAGAGAAUGGCAAAAGCUGGGGUGGAAAGAUGAGUAGGUGAUCUGUGGGGGGACUUGUGUGCCAAUGGUGAUCCUGUUCAUUCAUCCAUGAGCCACUGAAGAGCUUACAGCAGGAGUGGUACAAAUCUUGAUUUUUAUUUAUUUAAGAAAAGCCAUUGUUGGCCACGAGAAGGGUGGGCCACAGGUAGGACUGCUGGCAUGAGACUUGGUCACAUCAGUUUAUUAUUGUUUCAUCAUCCUGUCAAGGGAUUGAAGCUCCUUCUCUUUAGCAAAUGGAGGGGUGAGAUUUCCAGGGGAGACGUUUCCCUGCCAUCACCCCUUGAUCUGUUUGAAAAACCAGACAGGUGAGCUUAAAAGGAACCACCUGCAUACUCUUUAAAGAAAGUUCCUCUUAUAUUCCUCUAGAGUAGAAGCCCAAAACUCUAGUUACUUCAUGGAAAUGUCUUUCCUUGUGGUUUUCCAGACAGUUUUGGCUGAUGCCCAGCCUUCUGAGUAGGUAAAAUAAUUUUCUGGAAAGUAUCCGAAUGAUUCAGCACAUCCACUGAGUUUCUAGUCAGGAGUCUGGCCCUGUCCCUGGUGAUGGAGCUUCUGUUUUUGAUUCUCCCCUUUUACUGGUCGGCACCAAAUUCCCCCUGGUUGACACCUUAAAUGCCAGUUCAAAUGCUGCCCUCUGAUACUUUCUUUUCAGAAUCAAGGCUCAAUUCCAAACAAGUUCCUGUUUAAAGAACAGACAAGAAAGAGCAUAUUGAGGCAAAGAGGUUAGAACUGAGAUGUGGAGAGGGGAAAGAAUGAAAAAUAAAUAAAUAAAAAGAGGAAAAAGGGAGGUGAAAGAGGCUGAGAUCCGGCUACCAGCCCAGACCCCAGACUUGCAUGGCUGGGCGCCCAAGGACACCGCACCUGUAGACUCCGGAGGCAAAUCCAAAGUGACUCUCUCCUCAAAGCAUUGUGCACCCUGGAUUUUCCAUUCAUAAAUGCUAAAAUGGCCAUUGCCUACCCUGCACCUAGGAUUUCAACCUGGAACUUUUCACACCCUCUGUGCAUUUCCUGGAGACCCUUCCCAUCAUCCACAUGAUCUGUAGGAGCACCACGGUCCUUCAGUUCUGCCAGCUAAGCUGCUCUUGAAUUCGCCUUCAUCCAGAUGGACUUUUUCAGAAGGCCUCCUUGGCCUGGGCAGCCGCAGCCUCCAGCAUUGCUCCUUUCUCUCUGCAGCAGGAGUGAUCUUUCCAGGAUGUUUAUCUGUAUCUGUCAGGUGGCUGUUCCGCCCCUGCUUAAAAUUCUCCAGCAGGACUUCAGAGUUGCCAGGGUGAAAUGCAGAGCCACUGGCUCACCCUCCCUGGUCUGAUCCUGUGCAUGUCUUCUAAACUUAUCUCUGGCACCAUGGCCAUGUGAAAUAGUCGUUCCAGCAUUUCCUUAAGCAUAUAUUUUUAAUCUUCUUUUGCCUCCUAUUCCCUCUAUUUGAAAUGUCACCCACACCACUUCCCCAUUAAUAGCUGCUUUUCUGUCUUGCUAGCUCCUACACAUUUGCACAUCACCUGGACAUUAUCGGCACCUCAAAGCCUCUCCUGGCGUUGUUCCUUCCAGAGUGAGGUGCCCCUGUCGGUUCUCCCAUAAAACCAUGGGUUGCACUGCAUGUAGCUCUCUGGACUCUGAUCAUUGAUUUACUUUCCUUUCUCCCUUAGUCACCUUUGAGUUCCACGUGCUGUCGGCCCAUCUCAAACUCAUGACACAAUUGUUGACACAUAGAUGGUAGCCAGUGCUUGUCAACUAAAGAAGAGAAUGGGAAAGGAAGAAGACAAAAGUGACCAAAGAAAAAAAACAGGUAAACUCAGUGCUGAUGUUAAAAAAUCAAAAGAUGUUGUGCUGCCUUGAGAAGGUUUUUGCACACUUAAAUAUGGGUCAAAUAUUAGCAUGUCAAAAAAGGAGAGGCACACAAUGUUACCAGACCCCUUUCCUCCCUGGGCUGCGUAGGAACAGUGGUAACCUCAGCCUUCACAGAGAGAGACAUCUUCCUGGAAUAACCUGCAUGUCAGGGCGGUAUGCGGUAUCCUACCCACGCCUGGGUGCUGCGUUAGCCUCCUGUUUCCUGUCUGCCCACUCACAUUUGAUUUGACCUCUUUCUCACCAGAAAAGCUAUAUUCUCUCACAACAUAUGUUUUUUUUUUUAAUUCUACCCAUCCUUCUAAGAUGUUCGCAUCUCUCUUUAACAUUUGUCAAAAUGGCUUCACCUCAUGACUUUAUUUUGCAAAUUCACUUAUUUAGAGGCUUGUUAAAACAGACCUGCCCUUGCAAUUUAGGGAUGCAGCCACCAGGUGGCAGGAUGGUGCUCAAACUGCAGGAUGCAGGCUUUCCCUGAAUUCCUCAGGAUUCAGGUUUCCAGUCAAUGCAAGAAGCCCUUCUUCCGUCCCUUCAGGAUCAGCCUGCUCUCUGCAGGGCGCUUCCAGGGACAAGGCCUCAUGAGGACAGCCCACUCCAUAAACAGGUGGAAUGCUGCCUUGAUCAAGUGCAGUCUCCUUCCCAGCUCUGCAAUGCAAGCGCACCCUGGACCCUGACUUCCCCAUCCUCCUUUUAUGCAGUCUCAAACUGAUGUGUCAUCGCUCCACAGUCCCUCAAGCCCCCAAGCUUCUCCCUCCUGCCUAGCUCCUUCCCUGGCCCCCAAAGAAGGCUGACAGGAGAAACUAAACUGAAAUAAAGAGGCCAUGGUAGCUCUGUUUCCUAAGAUGUUUUGUUCUUUUUCUACCCAUAAGGGAAUGAUUCAAAAUGUCCCUCCACCUGGGUCCAACCGGUUUGCCUGAAGUUAAUUCACUCACCAGCUGUUAAGGCUGCUUCUGUCCUUGGGUGAAAUUUGGCUGGCUCACCCACUCUUCGGAGCUACAACUGGGCCUGGCCUCAUUAGAAGCCAUGUGGCCUCUGUAGCUGGCACCGUGGCUGUCCCCCGAGUCAGCCGGGAUUGCAUCAGCUCCUCUGAUGGCCAGAAGCAGAUUUCACAUUUUUUCCUCUCUCGAAUGUGUGCUGUCUUCUUGCUGCGUUCUGAUUUAGCUUCCUAUCUCUGAGACACAUAUUUAGCUCUCGUCUCAUUUGCAGAGGUACUGUCAUGCUUUUGAACGAUGUGGUCUUACUUUUCCAGCUGUUCCAUGUCACCAAACCAACAUUCUUUGGGGUUACACUUGUGGGGAAUUGUCUUCCAAAAGACUAUCUUUCUAUUUCAAGUUUUGCCUAAGCAUCUCCAGCAGACAUUAUCAAUGAGGUAAUUUUUGGCAAACUUAAGAGCGUGAUCCUGCGUAACAGAUGCUUAGGAGAGCACUGACAACUCACACAAGAUGAUUACCAUUCCACUGGCUUGACCCUCCUAGGUUGAGAGCACAAGGGGGAGGGUUUUUUUGAUAGAAUUGAUGAGACUCAAAAAGAUCUGAUUUUGGUCUUUCAAUGUCAGUGGAUACCACUCAGGAUGUGUUGAACUGGGGAGGGGAGCUGGCCUGCACUAAACACAUACCACACGUCCAGCACUCCGUAAGAUUGGGGAGCAGCGGAGAGAAACAAAAAUGAUCAUUUAAAUGCUAUGCUGUUCAAAAUUGAGAAGGCAAAAAACCCUGGGAUGCCCUGAUGGAAACUGAGCAG
rnacentral:lncRNA from 10 species